rnacentral:lncRNA from 1 species
UUAUAUGAAAUUAAAGAAAUUUCAUCUACUAAAAAAUGUAGACUCUAAUAAACAGACACAUAUAAUUACAUCAAAUGAAAUGUAACAACUCUAAGAAAAGAUGUAGGAGAUUGAGAAAUCAUGAUAUACAAUGGAAUUUUUUUUUUUUGUAAAGCAAAUGUAUACUCUGCACGUAACUGCAGACUAAUCCUCUCGAGGUAACUAAGAUCCAUUUAAUUUUAAGGGGUUGACCUCUCCCAACAAUAUACAAUGCAAUUUAGAUGUAGGAGAUUUCAUCUACAGAAUAAUAUAGUCCAGAACUAUAAAAAGUAAAAACAUGAUUAUAAACAUGGAUCCUUCAUAUUACAAGAUACAAGAGUGCCUCUACAGUUCAAAGACAUAACCUAUUUCCAAAUUGUAAGCACUUCUUGAAACAUCUCCAGCAUUAGAUCCCUAUCU